CUGUUUUCAUCUUUCAUGAGAAUAUAAACAACACAACAUCUCAAAUAUUAUCCUGAAUCUCAAAUAUUUGAUUAUUUGAAGCCUUGUUUCUAAUUGUAUAUUUGUUUGUUUCAAAGCAAUGCAUCAAUUUAUGCGCAUUCAUAGUUACAAAAUGUGCAGUUAUUGUAAAAUGAAAACAGGCACGCAUUUUAUCGGCUUUACAUAACCUAUAAUCCAGAUCGCAAAACUAAUCAGCAGUACCAGUCCUACAUCAAAGUCAUCUCCUAAUUGUAAAUGUCGAUCAAUGAAGCUCACGUCACAUCAGAGCUCUACUCAAAAAAUACCAAACUAGAUGAGAACUCGAGUGGAUAUGUUAAUUCGAAGUUUCAUUUCCAUUUGCCAUCGAACUUCAAUGGCGGAGAAGAAAUUAGACCGAACUUGGAAGUGGACAAAGAUGGAGACUACGUAGUUGAUAGGAAAAAGGAUCUUAUCCAGGAAACUAUCACUAUAGAGCAUAAAGCGAGCACGAGCUUGAAACUAGUUGGUCUGCAAAUAUGGAGAGGAGCAUUGCUGCUUGCAGACUACAUUCUCAGCAACAAGACAAAGUUCGCGAACAAAGUUAUACUGGAACUUGGAGCCGGAGUCGGAUUGACAAGCAUUGUGGCUGGUAUGCUGGCCAAGGAAGUCAUUUUCACUGAUAUUGACGAAGGAACCAUCCUGGAUCUCAUCAAAAGAAAUGUAUCAAACAACAAGAAACUCAUAAAAAGUAACUCUGCAGUGUUGCCACUUGAUUUUAUGGAUAUGAGCUGGAAUGAUGAACUGAUGGAAAAGUUGAAAACUGUAGAUAUUGUUAUUGCGGCUGAUGGCGCUGUAUGGCAUCUUUUUCUGAAGAACCAAAUCUAAGCAUUAUUUGACGAAUUUAUCUAUGAUAAUGAGGUAACGGAAGGUUUUGUGAAAGCUCUCACAAGAAUCCUGCAAAUACCUCCAAAGAAAUCAGCUCUAAUUGCUUUGGAAAAAAGGUACGUUUUCACAAUUGAUGAUCUUGAUACAACUGCGCCAUGCUGUGAGUAUUUUUUGGAAUAUUUGAAACUUUAUUGGAAUCGUCCACCAAUGUCAAGAUGGACAUUCCGAGAGUUGAAAAUUGAUUUUGAUCAAUUUUUCGAAUACAAACGACUCAAACAGUUAAUUCUCUGGGAAGUAACUACAGAUUAAUCACUGCCAAAAAUAUUAUUAUCUAAUACCUGUACUUGAACAUGUUUCGACUAUAAGAUUUACCUUUAUUAUUUAUUUUGUUAUCUCCCAAACUAAUAAUAAUACAGUAUCAAUUCAUAUUUUGUACUCAAUUUUUGUACAAGUUUACAAAAAUUAAAAAACUCGAAUUAAUAAGAA